rnacentral:tRNA from 1 species
GGGGUGGUGGCUCAGUGGUAGGCCAUCUGUUUUGCAUUCAGGAGGUCCUGGAUUCAAUCCCCUGUGGCUCCA